GACGAACGUUGGCGGCGUGCUUAAUACAUGCAAGUCCACUGAAGCAGUGGUAGCAAUAUCGCUGUGGAGGUGGCGCACGGGUGAGUAACACGUAGGUAAUCUGCCUUCAGGUCUGGCAUAACUCCGUGAAACCGGGGCUAAUAGCAGAUGAUGCAGCGGCUCGACAUCGAGACAGUUGUUAAAGCUAUGGCGCCUGAAGAUGAGCCUGCGUCUGAUUAGCUAGUUGGCGGGGUAACGGCCCACCAAGGCAACGAUCAGUAGCUGGUCUGAGAGGAUGAUCAGCCACACUGGAACUGAGACACGGUCCAGACUACUACGGGAGGCAGCAGUAAGGAAUAUUGCUCAAUGGGAGAAAUCCUGAAGCAGCAACGCCGCGUGAGGGACGAAGGGUUUUGGCUUGUAAACCUCUGUAGGGAGAGAAAAAAAUCCCAAUCUUUGGGACAUGAUGGUAUCUCAAAAGUAAGCCCCGGCUAACUACGUG
rnacentral:rRNA from 1 species